GGGCCGGAGAGAAGAGGGGGAGACUCACCCAUUGGGAGGACGCAUACCAAGCAGGUGGCAGAGGAAAUGCUAUUGGCCAAGUCCAGUUUGCGCCCUGCUCAUUGCCUGCUCCUCCCCUGGUUCCCCUCUGUCUCUCGGGUGGGAGAGCCAACCAGCCACACUCAGGAGGCCCCACCCCGCCUGGCGCCGCCCCAAGUAGGGAGGAAACCAGCUCCCCAGCGUGAGGACACUCGAGCACAACUAUGGAAAGGUCCCUGUGAAAGAGCUGAAUCCUCUUGCUAACAGCCAGUGACAACCCGAGCCCC